CCACGCCCACAGGCCCGCUUCCCUCUUUCCCGGAAGCCCUCGUUGCUAACCGAGGGCGGCUUUGGCUGAGCGCCCUUUUUGUGGCCGGAGGAACCGAAGGCAUCAGAGGUACGUUGCGCCAAUAGUUGGUCUUCAGAUACAUUCUGUUGAGGAUGCUGGCUUCUGGCUUCAGAGAGAGUGAAAGGAAGGGGGCGAAAGAGAAACGUUAAUGUGAGAGAGAUUGUUGCCUCCCACACAUGCCCCCACCAAAACCAGGGAUGGAGCCACAACUAAGGAAAUACCCUUGAUGGGAAUCAAACCUGCAGCCCUUCAGUCUGCGGGCCAACACUCUAACCACUGAGCAAAACCGGAUAAAGCUCUGACAUUUUUAAGUAAAGGAGAAUAUUUGGUCUAGAUUUCAAGGUAAUUGUCAGCAACACAGCAGUAAAUAUCAACACGAA